rnacentral:rRNA from 1 species
UACGUAGGGUGCAAGCGUUAAUCGGAAUUACUGGGCGUAAAGCGUGCGCAGGCGGUUUUGUAAGUCAGAUGUGAAAUCCCCGGGCUUAACCUGGGAACUGCGUUUGAAACUACAAGGCUAGAGUGUGGCAGAGGGGGGUGGAAUUCCACGUGUAGCAGUGAAAUGCGUAGAUAUGUGGAGGAACACCGAUGGCGAAGGCAGCCCCCCUGGGUCAAGAUUGACGCUCAUGCACGAAAGCGUGGGGAGCAAACAGG